rnacentral:rRNA from 1 species
GAUGAACGCUGGCUACAGGCUUAACACAUGCAAGUCGAGGGGAAACGACGGGGAAGCUUGCUUCCCCGGGCGUCGACCGGCGCACGGGUGAGUAACGCGUAUCCAACCUGCCUCUGACUGAGGGAUAACCCGUCGAAAGUCGGCCUAAUACCUCAUGGUAUCGUCUGCGGGCAUCCAACGACGAUUAAAGAUUUCAUCGGUCAGGGAUGGGGAUGCGUCUGAUUAGCUUGUUGGCGGGGUAACGGCCCACCAAGGCUACGAUCAGGAGGGGUUCUGAGAGGAAGGUCCCCAACAUUGGAACUGAGACACAGUCCAAACUCCUACGGGAGGCAGCAGUGAGGAAUAUUGGGCAAGGGGGGAGGGCCUGAACCAGCCAAGUAGCGUGCAGGAAGACGGCCCUAUGGGUUGUAAACUGCUUUUAUGCGGGGAUAAAGUGAGGGACGGGGCCCUCAUUGCAGGUACCGAAUGAAUAAGGACCGGCUAAUUCCGUG